UACGAAGUGGGCUAGCGUUGUUCGGAAUUACUGGGCGUAAAGCGCGCGCAGGCGGUCUUCCAAGUCAGUGGUGAAAGCCCGGAGCUCAACUCCGGAACUGCCAUUGAAACUGUUAGACUUGAGGAUGAGAGAGGUGAGUGGAAUUCCCAGUGUAGAGGUGAAAUUCGUAGAUAUUGGGAAGAACACCGGUGGCGAAGGCGGCUCACUGGCUCAUUACUGACGCUCAGGCGCGAUAGCGUGGGGAUCAAACAGG
rnacentral:rRNA from 1 species